CAGCGACGGAUGUCUUGGCUCCCACAACGAUGAAGAACGCAGCGAAAUGCGAUACGUCUUGCGACUUGCAGAAUCCAGUGAAUCAUCAAAACUUUGAACGCACCUUGCGCUUCCGGGAUACUCCUGGGAGCAUGCUUGUCGGAGUGUCUGUU
rnacentral:rRNA from 1 species